rnacentral:tRNA from 1 species
CGCUAGGAAGCUAAAUUAUGGACAAAGCAUUGGCCUUUUAAGCCAGAGAUUGGUGACUACCGACCACCCCUAGUGA